rnacentral:rRNA from 1 species
UGCAAACGUUGUUCGGAAUUACUGGGCGUAAAGCGUGUGUAGGCGGCUAAGUAAGUCGGAUGUGAAAGCCCCGGGCUCAACCCGGGAAGUGCACUCGAUACUGCUUAGCUUGAGUAUCGGAGAGGUUGGUGGAAUUCUCGGUGUAGAGGUGAAAUUCGUAGAUAUCGAGAGGAACACCGGUGGCGAAGGCGGCCAACUGGACGAAUACUGACGCUGAGACACGAAAGCGUGGGGAGCAAACAGG